rnacentral:rRNA from 1 species
UACGUAGGGGGCAAGCGUUGUCCGGAAUCAUUGGGCGUAAAGCGCGUGUAGGCGGCUCGAUAAGUCCGUUCUGGAAGUCCAGGGCUCAACCCUGGGAUGCGGAUGGAUACUGUCGAGCUCGAGUCCGGAAGAGGCGAGUGGAAUUCCUGGUGUAGCGGUGAAAUGCGCAGAUAUCAGGAGGAACACCAAUGGCGAAGGCAGCUCGCUGGGACGUGACUGACGCUGAGACGCGAAAGCGUGGGGAGCAAACAGG